GAGAGAAAAUGGACCUGAUACAUUGGAUUACUACACACAAGUCAAGUCUGUCUAUGUGGAAAUGGGAGAUGUAGAGGCUCCAUUCUAGGGACAUCUUUUGAUAUUUUAGUCAGAAAAUCCUCGUUUCUGGAAAUUUAAAUUGAUUGCGCAGAUUUAACUGCCACAAGACUUGAUGAAUUCAACCGACUGAAUGAUUCCUUCAAACUCACUAGUGUUUAAUAAGUCACAUCACUAUUUUGAUAAAAGUGCAAUUUAAAAAAUAAGCUUAUAAAACAUACCUAUACUAUGGACCAAGUUUUAUUGGGAACAACUUAUUUUGUGAUUUUCAAGUGACUAACUGUCUUGCUUGCGAGUUCUAUAUUUAAGAUGUAUACAUUAAUUUACAGCAAAAAAUUGCACAUAUGUAUUGCUCCAAUACAUGCAUGCAAUUUCUUGUAUGUUACAUUUGAAUCUGUAAUCUAAUUGUUUCAUUAAGGACCUAGAAUGCUUAAGUGAAUUGAACUGAAGCCAAUUCUGAGAAUGAAAUGACUGAUAAACAUGCAAUAAGAAAUAAAACUAAUUUAUGUCAAUCUGUUCAUUUUAUUUAUUUAUUAAAUAAAAUAUUCAUACUUGUUCAUUUUUAAGCUUGCAAUAAACAAGAAUAUCAUUUAUACUCAGAAAAGCACAUGUAAAACAUUCACAUCAAAGUACAAGUCGACUGAACACAUCAAAUUUACCUGCAUAUUUCAUGGAUCUCUACCACACCCCCAAAAAGUCAGUUACAAAACAAAAGUUGUCUGUUCAUAGAAUUAGUUAUCUGGUAGAAACAGAUUUUCAAGAUCAAAAUUAAAUGAAUACAAAAGAUUUGAAAAAAACUAAAUGGCAGUAUACAAGUACAUUUGGCACAUAUUUUUGUAUUAUAUUAUUGAAAAUUGUAUUUAUUUGGUUUUAUUAUAAACUUAUGAAAGUGUGUUAUAUUAUUUUGUAUACUGUAUGGUAUCAAAUUAUUAAAUUAAUAUAUUACC
rnacentral:misc_RNA from 1 species